UUCAUGCCAGCAUCUUGUCAGUUGCCAGACUUUAUUAGUUCUUCACUACCUUUAUAUAUACCUUAUCCUUAUCACACACAUUCAUCUCACUUUACACACACUUACAAAUGCUCUAUAACUUUUUUUAAUGACUCAACCUAAAUACAGCCAAAUAGAAUAACGAAGAUUUGUUUUAAUCUAACAUUUUCCGGCAACUUCCUUUUCACUCACUCAAGCGAGAACCCACACGGUGAGAGACAGCUAGCCAAUCAGCGCCAAGUCUUGACACGUGACAUGCCUGGGAGCCAAUCACCAGCCAUCUCCAUCCCGCCGCGUUGCCCGACUUCCCGGUGUCCCACAGUGCUACGGCGUCCCACCCCCCGGGGCGUCUCUCUGGUCAUACCGUGGCGACCGACGGGCGGCAAGUGACACGUUGUAAUUGAUAUUUGUGACAUUCUCGGUGACGGGGCGUGGGCUAGGACGAGGCGUUGACGUGGAGGGAGAAGCGCGAGCUAAACAAAUGGCUGAGCGGAUUCCGAUGAAGGUUUGGGCAGCGACGAGGCCUGACGCGGGCUAAGUAAUGGCUGGGUGGAGGCGGAGGAAAGUGGAAGAACCUGGAGGAGAGCGGAGGAAAGUGGAGGACCAGUCUUGGCGCGUCCUUCGGCAGCGGGGAGGUCAGGUUACACUUCAGGUCCGCCGCCCGCCCGUCCGCCGCCCACACCUCCCUGGUCGGACCUGCGAAGAAGAAAG